GUGAGAAGCAUCCAGGACUUCAGACACUGAAGAGCAUUGACUUGUCUCCUGCAAGUUGGAUGGCUGUUGCUUGGUACCCAAUCUACCAUGUACCAAUGAAGGGAAUUACCCAAAAUAUAUCAACAUACUUCCUUACUUAUCAUACAUUAUCAGCAUCAUUUCAAGAUGACUUUGAUGAUGACAUAUGUAAAGAUCUUCCUAUUGAAAA